rnacentral:lncRNA from 1 species
AAAAAACGUUUUGUUAACAAACACACACAGAAGAGGGAGAGAGAGAGAGAGAGACCUCAGCCCAGUGAGGUUAAAAUACCAGGAAGUAAUACGUCAAGGGAAAACCUUCACAAAGCUUGCUGCCUCUCACUCCGCCUCUCACUCGCGCCUUCCCGCCACGCUCCCUGCCUCUCCGCUCGCACGCACCUCCCCCUGCCUCUCCGCACGCUAGCACGCACGCUCCCUGCCUCUCCGCUCCCUGCUUGCCUCUCCGCUCGCUCGCAGGCACGCUUCCUGCUUGCCUCUCCGCUCGCUCGCAGGCACGCUCCCUGCUUGCCUCUCCGCUCGCACGCACGCUCCCUGCUUGCCUCUCCGCUCGCACGCACGCUCCCUGCUUGCCUCUCGCUCGGCACGCACGCUCCCUGCUUGCCUCUCCCCCCUCACUCGCACGCUCCCUGCUUGCCUCUCCCUACCCACGCUCCCUGCUCUCCGCUCGCACGCACACACGCUCCUGCCUCUCCGCUCGCCACGCACACACGCUCCCUGCCUCUCCGCCUGCACGCACACACGCUCCCGGUCACUCUGCCGCCCGCUCUGCCUCUCUACCUCUGCCGCCCGGUGUCGCUCAGGCCUCUCUGCCGCCCGGUCGCCGCCUCUUUCCUACCGCUCGCCGCCCCUCUGCCUACCGCCCCUCUGCCUCUCUGCCGCCCGCUCUGCCUCUCUGCCGCCCCGCCCGGUCGCUCUGCCUCUCUGCCGCCGGUCGCUCCAGCCUCUCUGCCGCCCGGUCGCCGCCUCUUUGCCUACCGCUCGCCACCCUCUGCCGCCGGUCGCUCUGCUCUCUGCCGGCCGGUCGCCGCUCUUUGCCUACCGCUCGCCACCCCUCUGCCGCCCGGUCGCUCUGCCUCUCUUGCCGCCCGGUCGCCGCCUCUUUGCCUACCGCUCGCCGCCCCUCUGCCUACCGGCCCCUCUGCCUCUCUGCCGCCCGCUCUGCCUCUCUGCCGCCCCGCCCGGUCGCUCUGCUCUCUGCCGCCGCUCUGCCUCUCUGCUGCCCACUCGCCCGCUCUGCCUCC